rnacentral:rRNA from 1 species
AGUGAACGCUGGCGGUAGGCCUAACACAUGCAAGUCGAACGGCAGCACAGGAGAGCUUGCUCUCUGGGUGGCGAGUGGCGGACGGGUGAGGAAUACAUCGGAAUCUACUCUGUCGUGGGGGAUAACGUAGGGAAACUUACGCUAAUACCGCAUACGACCUACGGGUGAAAGCAGGGGACCUUCGGGCCUUGCGCGAUUGAAUGAGCCGAUGUCGGAUUAGCUAGUUGGCGGGGUAAAGGCCCACCAAGGCGACGAUCCGUAGCUGGUCUGAGAGGAUGAUCAACCACACUGAAACUGAGACACGGUCCAGACUCCUACGGGAGGCAGCAGUGGGGAAUAUUGGACAAUGGGCGCAAGCCUGAUCCAGCCAUACCGCGUGGGUGAAGAAGGCCUUCGGGUUGUAAAGCCCUUUUGUAGGGAAAGAAAUCCAGCUGGCUAAUACCCGGUUGGGAUGACGGUACCCAAAGAAUAAGCACCGGCUAACUUCGUGCCAGCCGCCGCAGUAA